AUUAAACACAGUCGUGGGUUUCAAUGCCCAAUGUUUGACCAUCCGUUUUAUUUGAAAAUUUUUUUAUGAUUACUAUUUUUAUUGUUAUUAGAUGAUAAAACAUGAAUUGUUAUUAAAUGAUAAAACAUGAAUAGUACUUUAUGCGUGACUUAAUUUUUAAAAUUUUUUUAUAUAUUUUUCAAAUAAGACGAACGGUGAAAUAUUGGACACAUAAAUUAACUUAUAGCUGCACUUAAA
rfam:Oryza glumipatula chromosome 9, whole genome shotgun sequence.